ncrna:unclassified sequences Glutamine riboswitch
AUCGUUCAAUCUGUAUUAAACAGAUCGGAAGUAGGGAAAACCGAAGGAACGCGGA